rnacentral:rRNA from 1 species
CACGUGGGUAACCUGCCCAAGAGAUCGGGAUAACACCUGGAAACAGAUGCUAAUACCGGAUAACAACAGAUGAUGCCUAUCAACUGUUUAAAAGAUGGUUCUGCUAUCACUCUUGGAUGGACCCGCGGUGCAUUAGCUAGUUGGUAGGGUAACGGCCUACCAAGGCGAUGAUGCAUAGCCGAGUUGAGAGACUGAUCGGCCACAUUGGGACUGAGACACGGCCCAAACUCCUACGGGAGGCAGCAGGG